rnacentral:rRNA from 1 species
CGGACGGCUGAGUAACACGUAGGAACGUACCCCAAACUGAGGCAUAAGCACCAGAAAUGGUGUCUAAUACCGCAUGUGCUCUUCGGAGUAAAGCUUCGGCGGUUUGGGAACGGCCUGCGCAUGAUUAGCUUGUUGGUGAGGUAAUAGCUCACCAAGGCGACGAUCAUUAGCUGGUCUGAGAGGAUGACCAGCCAGACUGGGACUGAGAACGGCCCAG